rnacentral:rRNA from 1 species
ACUCCUAACGGGAGGCAGCAGUGGGGAAUAUUGGACAAUGGGCGAAAGCCUGAUCCAGCAACGCCGCGUGAGGGAUGACGGCCUUCGGGUUGUAAACCUCUUUCAGCGGGGACGAAGCGAAAGUGACGGUACCCGCAGAAGAAGCACCGGCCAACUACGUGCCAGCAGCCGCGGUAAUACGUAGGGUGCAAGCGUUGUCCGGAAUUAUUGGGCGUAAAGGGCUCGUAGGCGGUUUGUCACGUCGGGAGUGAAAACUCAGGGCUCAACCCUGAGCGUGCUUUCGAUACGGGCAGACUAGAGGUAUUCAGGGGAGAACGGAAUUCCUGGUGUAGCGGUGGAAUGCGCAGAUAUCAGGAGGAACACCGGUGGCGAAGGCGGUUCUCUGGGAAUUACCUGACGCUGAGGAGCGAAAGCAUGGGGAGCGAACAGGAUUAGAUACCCUGGUAGUCCAUGCCGUAAACGUUGGGCGCUAGGUGUGGGACCCUUCCACGGGUUCCGUGCCGCAGCUAACGCAUUAAGCGCCCCGCCUGGGGAGUAC